AGAGUUUGAUCAUGGCUCAGGAUGAACGCUGGCGGCGUGCCUAAUACAUGCAAGUCGAACGCACAGCGAAAGGUGCUUGCACCUUUCAAGUGAGUGGCGAACGGGUGAGUAACACGUGGACAACCUGCCUCAAGGCUGGGGAUAACAUUUGGAAACAGAUGCUAAUACCGAAUAAAACUUAGUGUCGCAUGACACAAAGUUAAAAGGCGCUUCGGCGUCACCUAGAGAUGGAUCCGCGGUGCAUUAGUUAGUUGGUGGGGUAAAGGCCUACCAAGACAAUGAUGCAUAGCCGAGUUGAGAGACUGAUCGGCCACAUUGGGACUGAGACACGGCCCAAACUCCUACGGGAGGCUGCAGUAGGGAAUCUUCCACAAUGGGCGAAAGCCUGAUGGAGCAACGCCGCGUGUGUGAUGAAGGCUUUCGGGUCGUAAAGCACUGUUGUAUGGGAAGAACAGCUAGAAUAGGAAAUGAUUUUAGUUUGACGGUACCAUACCAGAAAGGGACGGCUAAAUACGUGCCAGCAGCCGCGGUAAUACGUAUGUCCCGAGCGUUAUCCGGAUUUAUUGGGCGUAAAGCGAGCGCAGACGGUUUAUUAAGUCUGAUGUGAAAGCCCGGAGCUCAACUCCGGAAUGGCAUUGGAAACUGGUUAACUUGAGUGCAGUAGAGGUAAGUGGAACUCCAUGUGUAGCGGUGGAAUGCGUAGAUAUAUGGAAGAACACCAGUGGCGAAGGCGGCUUACUGGACUGCAACUGACGUUGAGGCUCGAAAGUGUGGGUAGCAAACAGGAUUAGAUACCCUGGUAGUCCACACCGUAAACGAUGAACACUAGGUGUUAGGAGGUUUCCGCCUCUUAGUGCCGAAGCUAACGCAUUAAGUGUUCCGCCUGGGGAGUACGACCGCAAGGUUGAAACUCAAAGGAAUUGACGGGGACCCGCACAAGCGGUGGAGCAUGUGGUUUAAUUCGAAGCAACGCGAAGAACCUUACCAGGUCUUGACAUCCUUUGAAGCUUUUAGAGAUAGAAGUGUUCUCUUCGGAGACAAAGUGACAGGUGGUGCAUGGUCGUCGUCAGCUCGUGUCGUGAGAUGUUGGGUUAAGUCCCGCAACGAGCGCAACCCUUAUUGUUAGUUGCCAGCAUUCAGAUGGGCACUCUAGCGAGACUGCCGGUGACAAACCGGAGGAAGGCGGGGACGACGUCAGAUCAUCAUGCCCCUUAUGACCUGGGCUACACACGUGCUACAAUGGCGUAUACAACGAGUUGCCAACCCGCGAGGGUGAGCUAAUCUCUUAAAGUACGUCUCAGUUCGGAUUGUAGUCUGCAACUCGACUACAUGAAGUCGGAAUCGCUAGUAAUCGCGGAUCAGCACGCCGCGGUGAAUACGUUCCCGGGUCUUGUACACACCGCCCGUCACACCAUGGGAGUUUGUAAUGCCCAAAGCCGGUGGCCUAACCUUUUAGGAAGGAGCCGUCUAAGGCAGGACAGAUGACUGGGGUGAAGUCGUAACAAGGUAGCCGUAGGAGAACCUGCGGUUGGAUCACC
rnacentral:rRNA from 1 species